GAUGAACGCUGGCGGCGUGCUUAACACAUGCAAGUCGAACGAAGCACUUUAUUUGAUUUCCUUCGGGACUGAUUAUUUUGUGACUGAGUGGCGGACGGGUGAGUAACGCGUGGGUAACCUGCCUUGUACAGGGGGAUAACAGUUGGAAACGGCUGCUAAUACCGCAUAAGCGCACAGCAUCGCAUGAUGCAGUGUGAAAAACUCCGGUGGUAUAAGAUGGACCCGCGUUGGAUUAGCUAGUUGGUGAGGUAACGGCCCACCAAGGCGACGAUCCAUAGCCGACCUGAGAGGGUGACCGGCCACAUUGGGACUGAGACACGGCCCAAACUCCUACGGGAGGCAGCAGUGGGGAAUAUUGCACAAUGGGCGAAAGCCUGAUGCAGCGACGCCGCGUGAGCGAAGAAGUCUUUAGGUAUGUAAAGCUCUAUCAGCAGGGAAGAUAAUGACGGUACCUGACUAAGAAGCACCGGCUAACUCCGUG
rnacentral:rRNA from 1 species